rnacentral:ribozyme from 1 species
CCAUUCUCCUGUGCCAAAUUAUCUACGACCACGACAUGGAUACGUGGCUCGGACGGCGUGCUG